AUUGAAACUCCGGUUCCCGCACGAUCACUGAAGUUAAGCAACGUCGAGCCUGGUCAGUAUCUAGAUGGGUGAUUGGUUGGGAAUAGCAGGUGCUGUUA